rnacentral:pre_miRNA from 1 species
UACCCUGUGGACUCGAAUUUGUGCUGGCUUCUGGAAUCCACAAAUUCGAUUCUUAAGGACUAC